rnacentral:rRNA from 1 species
GCAAGUCUAGCGGAAACGAGUUAUCUGAACCUUCGGGGAACGAUAACGGCGUCGAGCGGCGGACGGGUGAGUAAUGCCUGGGAAAUUGCCCUGAUGUGGGGGAUAACUAUUGGAAACGAUAGCUAAUACCGCAUAACGUCUACGGACCAAAGAGGGGGACCUUCGGGCCUCUCGCUUCAGGAUAUGCCCAGGUGGGAUUAGCUAGUUGGUGAGGUAAUGGCUCACCAAGGCGACGAUCCCUAGCUGGUCUGAGAGGAUGAUCAGCCACACUGGAACUGAGACACGGUCCAGACUCCUACGGGAGGCAGCAGUGGGGAAUAUUGCACAAUGGGCGCAAGCCUGAUGCAGCCAUGCCGCGUGUAUGAAGAAGCCUUCGGGUUGUAAAGUACUUUCAGUCGUGAGGAAGGC